AACGAACGCUGGCGGCAUGCCUAACACAUGCAAGUCGAACGAUGCCUUCGUGCAUAGUUGCUCACGGGUGCGUAACGCGUGGGAAUCUGCCCUUGGCUUCGGGAUAACAGUUAUAAAUGACUGCUAAUACCGGAUGAUGUCCCCCUGAGAGAUCUUCGGGACCAAAGAGUUAUCGGCCAGGGAUGAGCCCGCGUAGGAUUAGGUAGUUGGUUGUGUAAAGGCCUACCAAGCCGACGAUCCUUAGCUGGUCUGAGAGGAUGAUCAGCCACACUGGGACUGAGACACGGCCCAGAAUCCUACGGGAGGCAGCAGUGGGGAAUAUUGGACAAUGGCGGGAACCCUGAUCCAGCAAUGCCGCGUGAGUGAUGAAGGCCUUAGGGUUGUAAAGCUCUUUUACAAGGGAUGAUAAUGACAGUACCUGGAGAAUAAGCUCCGGCUAACUCCGUG
rnacentral:rRNA from 1 species